rnacentral:rRNA from 1 species
AUGUGCCAUGGGACCGUGCUGUUGUGGAGGAAUUUGUUCGUUCUUGCACCAUUUGUCAAAAAGGGCAACCUGGUGCAUGUAGCUCCCGCUUGCGCAGGGUCCAGGGAAGGGUCCGACCACUUUGGGUCUAUAGUACGCAGCCUUUCCCUACAUUUCUGUAAGAGGCUGUUUCCAGGACUUGAACCCAUGACCUCAUGGUCACAAGGCAGCAGCUUUACCACUGCGCCAAGGCUCCCCUUCACCAUUUGUCAGCGCAACAAAAUUGAGCAGUUGCUGCCAGCUGGCCUUGUACAACCACCUCAGGCGCCAUCUCAAGUGUGGGUAGACAUUUCCAUGGACUUCAUCGAGGGCCUUCCCAAAUUCCGUGGCAAGACUGUGCUCUUGUCAGUGGUGGAUCGCUUCUUGAAGGCAGCACACUUCAUACUGCUUGCCCACCUAUACACUGCUGCAGCUGUAGCACAGGCCUUCUGCACAGAGAUUGUCCGUCUACAUGGCCUACAUGAGUCCGUCGUCUUCAAUGGGGAACCGGUCUUCACCAGCAACUUUUGGUCUGAACUAUUUCGCUUGACCAGUGUACACCUCUACAUGGGUUCAGCCUUUCACCCACAGUUGUAA